UACGGGGGGGGCAAGCGUUGUUCGGAAUCACUGGGCGUAAAGGGCGCGUAGGCGGCAGAUCAAGUCAGCUGUGAAAUCUCCGAGCUUAACUCGGAACUGUCAGCUGAUACUGUUCUGCUAGAGUGCGGAAGGGGCAAUCGGAAUUCUUGGUGUAGCGGUGAAAUGCGUAGAUAUGUGGAGGAACACCAAUGGCGAAGGCAGCCCCCUGGGUCAACACUGACGCUCAUGCACGAAAGCGUGGGGAGCAAACAGG
rnacentral:rRNA from 1 species